rnacentral:rRNA from 1 species
UACGUAGGGAGCAAGCGUUGUCCGGAAUCAUUGGGCGUAAAGCGCGCGUAGGCGGCCUCGUAAGUCCGUUGUGAAAGUCAAAGGCUCAACCUUUGAAAGCCGAUGGAUACUGUGAGGCUAGAGUCCGGAAGAGGCGAGUGGAAUUCCUGGUGUAGCGGUGGAAUGCGCAGAUAUCAGGAGGAACACCAAUUGCGAAGGCAGCUCGCUGGGACGUAACUGACGCUGAGACGCGAAAGCGUGGGGAGCAAACAGG